UACGUAGGGGGCAAGCGUUGUCCGGAAUCAUUGGGCGUAAAGCGCGUGUAGGCGGUUCAGUAAGUCUGCUGUGAAAGUCCAGGGCUCAACCCUGGGAUGCCGGUGGAUACUGCUGGGCUAGAGUACGGAAGAGGCGAGCGGAAUUCCCGGUGUAGCGGUGAAAUGCGCAGAUAUCGGGAGGAACACCUAUUGCGAAGGCAGCUCGCUGGGACGUUACUGACGCUGAGACGCGAAAGCGUGGGGAGCAAACAGG
rnacentral:rRNA from 1 species